CCUACGGGUGGCAGCAGUGAGGAAUAUUGGUCAAUGGACGAGAGUCUGAACCAGCCAAGUCGCGUGAAGGAUGACUGCUCUAUAGGUCGUAAACCUCUUUUAUAAAGGAAUAAAACGAGGCACGUGUGCCUUUUUGUAUGUACUUUAUGAAUAAGGAUCGGCUAACUCCGUGCCAGCAGCCGCGGUAAUACGGAGGAUCCGAGCGUUAUCCGGAUUUAUUGGGUUUAAAGGGAGCGUAGAUGGGUUGUUAAGUCAGUUGUGAAAGUUUGCGGCUCAACCGUAAAAUUGCAAUUGAUACUGGCAGUCUUGAGUACAGUUGAGGUAGGCGGAAUGCGUGGUGUAGCGGUGAAAUGCUUAGAUAUCACGAAGAACCCCGAUUGCGAAGGCAGCUUACUAAGCUGUGACUGACAUUGAUGCUCGAAAGUGUGGGUAUCAAACAGGAUUAGAUACCCUUGUAGUC
rnacentral:rRNA from 1 species